UAAGCAAGCACAUCAACUACCAUGUUUGAUGUGGGAUUGGGAGUGGAUUAAUAAUGUAAUUUCUGAUAAAUAAUCUGUGUUCUUCUGUACUUGUGGGUGUGGAGUGAACAAACAAAAGUGUCCGUGAGUGUCUUUAUCUUUUGUGUCUUCUUCAUUGUUAUGUAUUGGCCAUGUCUGUGGCCUCAGGUGUGGUUUUAAUGAAGUCUUAUAAUUAGUGUAGUACUCUGCUUCUCUCAUCUUUCUAAUCAUUUACUUCACAACUAUAUUGUCUCCAUGGCUAAAGUAGACCUAGACUACCAGAGCAAGAAUAUUGCUGAACUUCAUUAAUCUAGAGUUCACAGCCUAUCAAGCGCGGUAUGCUCUGUGAUCAAAUGGCAUAAAAUUUGAUGCAUGAAAGCAUAGCUUCCCCACAGCGAAUUACAAUCGGAUAGCGUUACAAUAAUUAGGCAAGUUAAUUUGAGAUCGUUAUUGCUUAAGAAAUCAGUUUUUUUCCCAGUCCACAAUCUUGCAAUCAACUCUUCUUCGUUGGGAUCGUGUCAAGAUUUUUCUUUCCUUCUAUUUUCUGCUAAUGCACACAACACUUGAAGAUUCCACAAGUAACAUGUCACGCGCCAAUCAGAAGUCAUAAAAGAUAAACCCAAAAGCAAAAGAAAGUUAAAUUGGAAGAAUCUAAUCUGAGAUCUCUGAACUCGAAGAGAAACGGCAUGGCCAGCAAUAUGUUCAAGUGAUUGCGAAAGAGAAUACUCAAAAGGAUGACAAGAAAGUAGGUAACCUGGCCAGCAAUUGUUUGAUCAUACAACUAGCAAGGCAUGCAAUGAUUAGUGGUCGUAAAAGAUGAACAGAAGAAAUCAGGGAAAGGGUAACUGUCUGAAGACCUUUAGAUCAAUUUAUAGUAGCGUGUAGAAUAAUUAUCCAUCCUUGGUUGCUUGCUUUUCAGCCAUUAGAUCUCCGCAUGAUAAACUGUCAAUAACCAUCGUAAGAAAAGCUGAGAACAAUAUCUAACACCAUUGAUUAAGGAAUAUGAAGAAGGAAUCAUAAAUGAAUGGAAGACUUCAAUGGCAUCUUAAGGAAUGGAAUACAUUGGAGAAACGAACUUUAGUCUACCUGUUAAAUCACAUGUACAGACAAGAAUAAAGCAUCGACAAAGAGAUGAGACAAACACAGUAUCAAGGCCUCAUUCAUGCAUUUUGGCCAUUUUCAAUUGUUAGUGGAGUUCCAAGAAAAAAUGAUUGCAGAGAUGAAAAAGUCAAGCAAAGUUGCGGUUUUUAGCUUUAUUCCUCGUGUCUGUUCUAUGCUCGAAGUGAUAUUCAUUUGCCAAAUGUUGAAGUCCUCACUGGACAAUGAGUCUUAACCUAUUUCACACAAACAGCUUCACCAUUCUCCAAAAUGCUGUCGUGUUUUAGUUUCUUAGUUUCAGGGCAAGCCAGCAGUUCCUCUUUUGCUUUGAUUACAGCAAAUUCAAAGCAAAAUCAUUGAAUCCUGCUUUCAUACUCAGAAACAAGACACCGUUGUGUUGGAGACACGGGGGAAGAAGAAAGGAAUUAAGAACAUCAAAUUCAAAACAAAAUCAUUGAAUCCCGAUUUCUUUCUCACAGUUUUAAAUCAUUUACCAUGCAUUUCAGUUUUGUUCCUUCUUUGCCAACUAGUACUGUUCUAAAUUCAAGAUUAUUCUGCGUAUCAUCUUCACCGGAACUCGUCAAUUUUUUUCUUCAUGAGCUCUCUGGUACGACGGCAUCAGCUUAUUUGAGAUCAAUACAACUCUUAUCCUAAUUUGUUCCACGACAUGGUAAUUAGGGGUGAGCAAGAAAACCACCACUGAAAGAAAAACAGUAUAAAUAUAAACUUUUCUUCUAACUCUAAAGGCCAAGUCAAACCCAGCGGCCCCCCUCCUCCAGGUUUUCUCUCUAUCUCAGUUCUCACAUCUCCCCUUCUCUGGUUUCUUGUCUUCUCCAGUUUUAAGGUUCAAAGUCUCGAGAAAAAACAAAGGUAUCUAGCAAUCUUUAAAGGUAUAUCUUUCUUUAUUUUGCUCAAUUCCAUUCCUAAAUCUCCAUUUCCCGUUUGGCCAAUCUCAUGGGAACUAUUUGCUUAAAGCUCUGAAACCUAUCAAAUUGAAGCUAUCAAGCUCUUCUUCCAUUGCCAUCCACUCUGCUGGAGCAAUAGAGUCUGUUAAAAAAGCAUAUGAUGCAUUAUUGUUGGAUGCUGGUGGAACACUUCUGCAAUUGACAAAGCCUAUUGAAGAAACUUACGCUUCCAUCGGGAGAAAAUAUGUUUUUUUUUCCUUUCUUUUUAUGCUAUUACUCCUAUUAUUUACGUUCGGAAUAAUAUGCUAUUUCUGGAUUAGAAUGAAGUGAUUCGCAGCAGGGGAUUUAACACAA